GACGAACGCUGGCGGCGUGCCUAAUACAUGCAAGUAGAACGCAGUUGCGAACGGGUGAGUAACGCGUAGGUAACUGCCUCAUAGCGGGGGAUAACUAUUGGAAACGAUAGCUAAUACCGCAUACUGUGAGAUGGACCUGCGUUUUAUUAGGUAGUUGGUGAGGUAAAGGCUCACCAAGGCGACGAUACAUAGCCGACCUGAGAGGGAGAACGGCCAAAACGGGCCUGGUACACAGCCCCGAAUCCUACGGGAGGCAGAAGGAGGGAAUUGGCGGAAAUGGGGGGAAGUCUGACCGAGGAACGCCGGGGGAUGGAAGAAGGUUUUCGGAGCGUAAAGCUCUGUUGUUAGAGGAGCGGUAACUACCCAGAACGGGACGGCUAACUACGUGCCAGCAGCCGCGGUAAUAC
rnacentral:rRNA from 1 species